UCGGUAAUUUCAUUCAAACUUGCCGUCAUUUGGCGUUUCCUUUUUUGGAAAAUUCACCUCAAUUGACAUUUUGGGAGGAAAAACAAAAGUAUUCGCACGAAUUUCUACAUCUCCACUAUACAAAGGGUAAAAAAAUUCGAAAGGAAAAAACCAAGUUCUCAUUCAAAUAUAAAACUUGGAUGAAAAAUGAAAAAAAAAAAUGGUUUCGCAAAGCCGUUGAGAAAUUUCCACAGUUGAGGUAGAAAAUGAUCGUUUGUAGCCUCCGUUCCCGCCUUCUUCCUCUUCUUCACUCUGUUCUACACUCAUCUUCUUCAAGAUUGCUAAACGUUUCGGAAGAUGCUGCAAGAAGUUUAAAAACGUGGGUCGGUUGUGGGUUUCGUUCAAAUUUCCAAGCAUCAAGAUCAUAUUCUCGUGGGGAGCGCAAACAUUAUGACCUCUUUGGAAAUGUCCGGCCUGGUGAUAAGGAAUUUAGGAAAGCCUGGGAAAAGCAGAUGAAUGAAGAAGAAUCUACUUUAUGGACAGAAAGUGAUGAUGAGGCAGACGAUGAGGAACGGAAAAAAAAUCAUCUCGAAGAUGAGAUAAGAAAGACAAGGCAGCAGGCAAAAGAACACUCUGACUUGAUUGAUGCUGAUGACAGUGAUGAAUUAUGGAGCGUUUGGUCUGGGAGCGAUGAAGAGAAGACCUUGUGGACUGGUAGCGAAGGUGACGAUGACGAUGAUAUUCCUACAGAAGCCUACCCCAAUGAACGUAGUGACAAAUACAUCGAUAGACUAUUCGAAUUUGAGGAAACAUCUAAAUACCGAACAAUUUCAGAACUCUUGAAAUCCGAACAGGAACCAGAAGAGUUAUCCCCUGGAAAACAAGCCAGGAAACUUGCUGUCGAGAAUGCAUUGAAGAAGUUAAAGAAAGGGCCGGAUGGUCGUUAUACCAAUGUGUGGGAGGUUAUGAGUGAUGUAGAUAUAUUAAUUGGAGCUUUCGAAAACGUAGUCUCGGGACCUGAAUAUGCAGAGCUCAGACAGGGAGGACAGAAGAAAUUGAAUAUGCAGUUUUUCAAGGAUAUACAAGCACGUAUGAGAGAUCCAAAUUUUAAGUUCUCGCCUGAACUGAAGUUGAAACCAAAAAGCAAACUGAUUUCCCAAAAGAGGUGGCAGAAAGCGCAAUCUAGACGAAGGAAAGCACAGAAACGAUAAUUUAUAAGGAUUCGUCCGAGCACAUCCCACAAGUAUCAUACAAGUGUAUUGGUUCAUCUCCUACGCUCCUAGGUACAAAGUCGAGGGAAGAAUUCUAGAGCUUUCCCUCUCUCCCUCAAUUCAGCCACUCAAUGACUAGCCAAAAAGAUACCUCUCACAGCGCAUCAUUUUCCAAGUACAACGCAGGACCCCUACACGUAAAUUCACUAUCGAACCCACUCAUAACUAACUCUCAAGCAUAAGGGAAAUCUGGAAAGAUGCCAAAUUGAUGGACUCGAACACAUGCAUUAUCUGGAACCCCGUCAAACUGAAAAUCUUGAAUGCCUACAUUAUGAGCCAUGGAUAUCAUCUGGUUUCCCAGCUUUUCAUUAUCAUAGUAAGCUCUUGCCUUCUGUGCUGCAGUUGUAGUGACUGGAUGAUACCGGAAACUGUUCGACAUGCCACCUUCUUGAUCGAGGUAACGUUCAAAUAGCGACCGGUUGUUGAAUUCUCUAUUAUAUAUUGGAAUCAUGUGCUGAUUUUGGAAGGUAUAGUAUGGGUCUGUUGUAUCUUUCAUUUGGUUAUCUAAGUAUUUUCUUGGGUUUGAUUCUUCACCUUCACCAUGUGUGGAAGUUGAAGGCCAAAGUUCAGCAUGCUUACCUAAUUUUUGAAGCUUCUUUAUCAAAAUGGUCGAAUCCACAUUGCCUGUGACUGUGACCUUUUGUUGUUCA